rnacentral:rRNA from 1 species
UGGGGAAUCUUGCACAAUGGGGGAAACCCCGAUGCAGCGACGCCGCGUGAACGAUGAAGCCCUUCGGGGUGUAAAGUUCUUUCGACAGGAACGAUAAUGACGGUACCUGGAGAAGAAGCUGCGGCUAACUACGUGCCAGCAGCCGCGGUAAUACGUAGGCAGCGAGCGUUGUUCGGAGUUACUGGGCGUAAAGAGUGCGUAGGCGGCGAGCCAAGUUUGGUGUGAAAUCUCCCGGCUUAACCGGGAGGGUGCGCCGAAAACUGGUUGGCUGGAGUAUGGGAGAGGAAAGCGGAAUUCCUGGUGUAGCGGUGAAAUGCGUAGAUAUCAGGAGGAACACCUGCGGUGUAGACAGCUUUCUGGACCAAAACUGACGCUGAGGCACGAAAGCGUGGGUAGCAAACG